GAAGCAAAGUGAAACAGCAGCAAUGCAAGAGAAGGCAACUGCCGAGUAGGCAAUGAAGCGAUAGGUACGAAGCUUAAGAUCCACGUGAGACUCCAUGGUUGACUGGUUGCUGUUGCUGAAUGCAGACCAGUGAUGUGAUGAUAUGGCUCCAGUGACUCGUCUUUUUAUACCAUUUCCACU
ensembl:ncRNA F02D10.10 ncRNA